UACAGAGGGGGCAAGCGUUGCUCGGAAUUACUGGGCGUAAAGGGCGCGUAGGCGGGAUGGCAAGUCGGUCGUGAAAUCCCUCGGCUCAACUGAGGAACGUCGAUCGAUACUGCCGUUCUUGAGGGUUGCAGAGGAGACUGGAAUUCCCGGUGUAGCGGUGAAAUGUGUAGAGAUCGGGAGGAACACCGGUGGCGAAGGCGGGUCUCUGGGCAACUCCUGACGCUGAGGCGCGAAAGCGUGGGGAGCAAACGGG
rnacentral:rRNA from 1 species